rnacentral:lncRNA from 1 species
GUAUGAUAUUACUAACAAAUAAUUUUACUUAAAAGAAUUCUACCUUAUGUGAAUUCUCUUAAAAACCUGACCAUAGUAAUAUAAUGCUGACAUGCACAUUUUACUUUAGUAUUGGGCUUGUGUAACAAUAGAGUAGUUGAAAUUCCAUAAACAUUGAAAUGCAUGUAUAAUUUUGACAAUUUAUGGAGCAAACAGUCAUUCUAUCAGUUACCAAGUAAUAUCUAAGUCCCACCUUCUCCCAAUUUCUAAUUGGUUAAUCAGUUGCAAGGUGAAAUUGUGUAGUAUGGAAGAAAAGACAGAAGCAUGUAAAUAAUUUCAUUGUAGAUCAUUACUUUUGUCAAAUGUAUCCUUUUACAUCCAGAUGUUUUCUGUUUUUUCAAAAAAAAUUUUUAAGGUAUUUCUAACUGUGCUCAUUGAAAUUCCUGGAUUAUGAUAAUGUGCAGGGAGAUUUUAUCAAUGCUUAUCUGACCUUCUACAGCUUUUUUUUUUUCCUCCUUCUUUUUAUUCCUGAAAGGUACCACAGCUCUUCUAGGAGCAUUGGCAACAACAAAGUCUCAUCACGUCAACUGAAACACUGUUACUUGGGUGUGAAUCUGCAAAAUGAAUUCUUUCCAUUGUCUGGGAGAGCAUGCUGGACUAUACAUGG